rnacentral:rRNA from 1 species
UACGAAGGGGGCUAGCGUUGCUCGGAAUUACUGGGCGUAAAGCGCACGUAGGCGGCUUCUUAAGUCGGUGGUGAAAUCCUGGAGCUCAACUCCAGAACUGCCUUCGAUACUGAGAAGCUCGAGUCCGGGAGAGGUGAGUGGAACUGCGAGUGUAGAGGUGAAAUUCGUAGAUAUUCGCAAGAACACCAGUGGCGAAGGCGGCUCACUGGCCCGGUACUGACGCUGGAGGUGACGAAGCGGUGGGGAGCAAACAGG